AACUGUUAUCUGAGGCCAGCUGUUCAGAGGAUAGUUGUAGUGAUCUUUACUCUUGCUAGUAAGACUUUUGUAAUUUUGUUUGUUCUAACUCCCUGCAAUAGAUCGUUCAUGAACUGGCUCAGUGAAGUAGUCAGGCUUGGGAGCUGAGCAUACGAUAGAUACGUGAAGUGUCGUGCUUCAGUUAAGUGUUUGUUCAGGCACUAGAACUUGUGCCUCUCAAGGAUGUUUACUUGGAAGAUGUCGGCAAUUGGAGUAGUGUCGUCUUGUUCCUGUCUCCGUCCUAGUGUACGGCUGCUGAAACCAGGAAUGCAGAAGACAAGCUCCUUCAGCUUACAUGUGGCAGCCAGGUGUGCUGCCAAGGAUUACUAUGAAGUACUUGUGUUGGGUGGAGGUGCUGGUGGAAUCACCAUGAGUGCUCGGAUGAAGAGGAAAGUGGGGGCAGGAAACGUGGCUGUCGUUGAGCCAAGUAAGACUCAUUACUAUCAGCCACUGUGGACUCUGGUUGGUGGUGGUGCAAAGCAACUAGCAACUUCUGCACGUCCAACAGGAAGUGUAAUGCCUGCAGGUGUUGAGUGGAUCAAAUCUCGAGUUACAGCAUUAGAUCCAGAUAAGAACUGUGUCUAUGUGGAGAAUGACAGGAAGAUAUCUUACAAGUAUCUGAUAAUUGCCCUUGGGAUUAGUCUGCAUUACGAAAAGAUCAAAGGCUUGCCUGAAGGUUUUCAUCACCCUAAAAUAGGUUCCAAUUAUUCAGUGCAUACAGUAGAGAAAACAUGGAAAGCUGUACAAGAUUUCAAGGAGGGAAAUGCUAUCUUCACUUUUCCAAACACUCCAGUGAAGUGUGCAGGGGCUCCUCAGAAGAUCAUGUAUUUAUCAGAGGCCUACUGGAGGAAAACAGGAAAACGAUCCAAAGCAAACAUAAUGUUCAACACUUCACUUGGUGUCAUUUUUGGUGUUAAGAAGUAUGCUGAUGCAUUGCUUGAAAUAGUAAAGGAGAGGGAUAUCGCUGUUAACUAUAAGCGCAAUCUUGUAGAAGUUCGAGCAGACAAGCAGGAAGCUGUGUUUGAAAACUUGGACAAGCCCGGAGUGACUGAAGUUCAUCAGUAUGAAAUGCUUCAUGUCACGCCCCCCAUGGGGCCACCUGGUGUUCUCAUCAACAGUCGUGUCUCGGAUGAAACUGGCUGGGUGGAUGUUGAUAAGGAAACUCUACAACAUAAAAAGUACCCUAAUGUAUUUGGCAUUGGAGACUGCACCAACCUUCCAACUUCCAAAACUGCUGCAGCCCUGCCCAGUCUGGAGUGCUUGACAGAACUAUUUCCCUGGUAAUGAAGAACCAGUUGCCAACUCAAAAGUAUGAUGGAUAUACAUCCUGCCCACUGGUGACAGGCUACAACAAGGUGAUUCUAGCAGAAUUUGACUACAACGCUCAGCCAUUGGAGACCUUUCCCAUUGACCAGAGUAAGGAGAGAGUAACCAUGUACCAUAUGAAAGCUGAUAUGAUGCCUUUUCUCUAUUGGAAUGCACUACUCAAGGGAUACUGGGGAGGACCAGCUCCUGUCAGGAAGCUCAUGCAUCUAGGCUUGAAGUAACUGCUGCCUGGUCAAACCUUUUUGAAGGGCUGUUCUCACAGUGGAUCAAUACACAGCUUCCCUGGUGGGCCACCUAGUACUACUUUUUUUCUUAAGCUUUUGUCCUAAAUAUGCUUUUUCCCCUACUAGGGAUUAAGCCUUCAUAUUCUUUCAUUGCUCUUCUAUAUAAACCAAGGCCUUAAACUACUUCUGUAAGUACACAGGAGUGUGAACUUGCCGUAAGCUACAGAACACUAUUGAAAUUGCCUGGAGACAUCAGUAAUUUUAAAGCUGUUGUAAUAUGUAAAAUCUUUUCCAACUCUAAACUGAAUUGCCUGUGUCCAACAUCAAUGUGUACACUGAAUUUAACAGAAUAAUUUAAUGCUAGUAAAAUGGCCUGAAAACCUCC